CAUUCUUACUUGUUUGUUUUAACUAAUCCAGAUAUUUGAGUUUUAGCAAUCUGGGAGCUUUGAUUGGAGGUUGUAUUCGACUCUUUUUAGUUCUUGUUUCGGUUUUGGGGUUUGAUGCUGGUUCAAGUUUGGGUUCGAGCUUGGAGGAGGGCAUUUAUCUAUCAAUUUAGCUAGAUCCUUGCAGGAGCUAGGAGACAAAUUUGAGGAUUUCUAUCCACGUGAACACAAUGGUGCUGAAGCUGAUUAUCAUGGAGAGCGCCAGUGAAAAGGAUGAGUCCAGUAACAAAAUGCCCAAUUUUGUGUAUAUUUCAAGAGAAAAGAAGACUAUAGCCCACAACUACAAGGCUGGUGUGCUCAACGUUCUGGUAAUAAUGUUUAUAAUUGUUGUUGAUCAUACACAUAUAUUGGUAAACAAAAAGUUGUUGACCAGUUUACAAGACAUCAGACUCUAAUGCUUUCCAGGUAGCUUAUCAAGCAAAGUCUGAUGUUUCUUCACUUUAUAAUGAUUAAAAAAUUUCUUUAUGGCACAUUGAUUCACUGUUAUUGUUUCAUCUGUUAAGGAUUCACUUAGAUUGUUUUUAGAAGAAAUCUGUAAAAUUGUACCAGAUGGUUGUUUGGUAUUCUUUCCUAGCCAUAAAUUGAUGGAAAAACUUUCAAAUGGCUGGCAGGAAACUGGUCAGUGCAGUUUUGAUGGGCUCCUGUUUUAAUUGGAUUUUCAGUUUUGGUAUGGCUUGAAAUUAAAGUUUGAUGUAUAUUGACAGGUUUUAUUAGACCCUUCACCGCCUCAUACUAUUUUACACAAUUUAUUUCAUUUUAUAUCUUGUACUCUUUAAGUUCUAUGCACACAACCACAAGAUAUGAAUAUAUAAGAAUGUUGUUAUAUAUUAUAUGCAUGUGUAGCUAGCAUAGACAAAAUUCAUUUAGCUACUUCAUUGCAUGCAAUACUUAUCUGAAAUUUGGAUCUGUCAUAUUUGGAAUAAAUGAAAUAUCUACUUUUGU